CAGAUUAGUUUGGCUUCUCUCCCAGGCUUCAGCAUUUCCUUUUCUUUCCUUCAAAUCCCACAGCACAAUAGAUCAAAGUGAAGUGCAUCCAGGGACUGUGGAUAAGGGGAUAAAAUAUGUAAGCAGCUUAAUGAGAUCCUAUCCUACUAAGGAAAGAAGAUGGCAGUGGAGAAUGUCACACUUGUUAGUGGGAGCUGCCGGCCCACAAGCCCCCAAGGUUCAGCCAAUAAGAGCUAAGCCAUUGACUAGCAAGGAUCACUCUCCGUGACUGUGCUUCUUGGUGUCAACAUGAGCAUCCUCUAAG
rnacentral:lncRNA from 1 species